rnacentral:rRNA from 1 species
UACAGAGGCCCCGAGCGUUACGCGGUGUCAUUGGGCUUAAAGGGUGCGUAGGCGGGUCCGCAAGUGCUUUGUGAAAUCCCACGGCUCAACCGUGGAACUGCCUUAGAUACUGACGGCCUCGAGGAAGGUAGGGGCAUGCGGAACUGUAGGUGGAGCGGUGAAAUGCGUUGAUAUCUACAGGAACUCCGGUGGCGAAAGCGGCGCACUGGACCACAACUGACGCUGAGGCGCGAAAGCUAGGGGAGCAAACAGG